UCUCUUGUUAGCUCAGUCGGUAGAACAUGAGACUCUUAAUCUCAGGGUCGCAAGUUUGAGCCCUGUUUUGGGUU